GCGGAAAGAAAAAACUGAGCAAGAGGGAAACAGAGGAGAGUUUGAGGAAAAAGGAAAGGGCAGGGAGUAAGAGGACGGUUGAGAGGUUUUGGAGUUGACGGCUAGUGAGGAAACUGAGAAGGUGAGCGGAGAGCAAGAGGGAGAGAGCAAGAGAGAAGUGGCUACGUUCAGUAAAAACAGAGCAAAGGGAGGGACCGAAGGAGUUUUUGGGAAAAAGUGACGGCUGGAAAAUUAGAAAAGGUGACAGCUGAGGUUUGAAGGAGGGGGAAUCAAGAGGGUAUCUAGGGACGGCUGCAAAUAGGGCAAAAGAAGGAGCUAGGAAGGGAGGCCACGGUCAGGAAGCGAAAAGAGACAGCUUCAGAGCUGGGAAACUAGGCUGGGAAGGAGGGUAGAGUACACCGAAAGAGCCGAGAGAGAAACUGCCGAGUGAGGAAGAAACGGGCAACUCAACGAGAAGCAGAUGGGAAUCUUAUCAACGGGAAACUAAGGAGAAAGCCAGCAAGAAAGGUUACUGGAGCCGAAGUAGAGACCGAGGCUUUCACGUUUUCUCCAUCGCUCACCCGAAUCCAAACUCAAGAUUUCAGGUAUAUUCUUGAAAACUGAUUUCUUAGUUUCUCCGAUGUUUCCUUCAUGACUGAGCUGGGUUUUUGCGUUUGUUUUCUAUUUGCUGUUCAUGUCACUGUUGAUGCUUCAAUCGUUGCUGAGUUAGGGGGGUUCCAGUUGUCUCUAUGGUUUUGAUCUUGUUUAGGGAGUGUUUAUCGCCAGAUUUUAGUAGAAAAUGAAUUGGAACUCUUGGGUUUUAUGGGCUUUGUUGAUUCACUGGGUUUGUUAUAUUGGAUAGAAGUUGCAGAAAAUAGCCAAAGUUUGCAUCCUUUGCUUUCCGGAUUUUCUGGGGGGAGGAAGACAGGGAUUGAACUUAUGAUUUCGCUGUUUGAUCUAAAGUAGAUUGGGUUGAAGUUCUGGGGCAUUCAGUGAGGCAUUUCCAGGUUUCCUUGGGUCAUGUAAAUGUUUGUAAACAUGCUGGAUUUGCAAAGAGGAAGCUGCGUGAAGUCUGUUGUGUGUUCUUUUAGUUUUUUUCCUUACGUAUCUUUGCUGCAUUUUUACAUUUCCUUACGUUCGGGAGAGACACGUGCUUGUAUUGUAUCCUGAUGCAUGAAAUUUCAGGUAUCUUGUGCUACUUUGUGUGUGUUAAUGUUUUAAUCUAUCCAAUGAAAGGCUUUAACAAUGCAUUGCUGUUAAGAUGAUGAUUGAGAUCCUCGUUUGAAUGAGGAAAAGUUGUAUUUCGUUCUCAUGUUUUGCUGUUUUUCCCUUCUUCACGAAGCACUCCCACAAAACUGGUUUUCAUGUCUUGAUAAGUUGCUAAAGAAAAUUGCAGAAGGAAACCUUGAAUGAAUGCAACCUGGAACGAACUUUGAAUGAGUUAUUAGUUUGCAUGUUUAAUCCAGUGUGUUAUGAUGGUUUUCUGGAAUCUAACGUAAGCUCUGUAGGCUGCUAAUAAGCUUUAAAGUUACCGAGAAACUCUUGCUGCAUUUUGUUUCUUUCUUUUUGCUGUUAUUUCUUUUAUCUUUAGCAGUCACCAAUCCAGUUUUUCUGCCUUAAUCCUGCAAUAAAAGUGUAAUAUUUGGCUUGGUUGAGGAUUGGAAGUUGUGUUUGUGGAUUGAUUCAAAAGAUGAUACUUGUUGGUGAUCUAUUUGGUUAAGUAUGGUGCAGAGAAGAGGAAACCAGAAAUGAGAGAGUUCUUCCUCGUAUGCAUGCAUGACAUAAUCCUGAGAAUUGUACUUUGACCCCUAAUUUUCCCACUAUUUCUCAAAAGGCCCAAUUAUAUUCUAGUUUCUUGCAAUCAGGUCCUAGAUUAUUUGCAUUUUAACCCUUACUUGACCCCUUCUUUGUUCUUUGACCUAUGAAUUCCCUAAAAGGUGUUAGUUGGUUUUGAGUGAUUGCUUAAUAUUUGCAAUUAGAUCCUUGGUAGUUUUCCAUCUUAGAGGUGUACUUUAUUUGAUUUCAUUUUUAAGUCACUAAUUUUAGCACCUCAUUCUAGAACCUUUUUGAUUAUUGGGUUUUGCUUUGCUUUAAUUUUGUUCGAGCAUAGAUGAUUUGUUGUGAAUACCUUAAGUGAUUCCAUUUUUGGGACUAAAUUUUGUUUAAUUUUCAUUCCGUGCUUAAUUCUCAUUUUUACGUAAUUAAUCGUUAAUUAAAGUGAUGCCUUGACCCCUUUUUGUUAUUUUGGAGGAUAAAUAAGUGAAUUCACUUCAUUAAGGUAUCAAUUCAAGGGAGGUAUAACUUCUUUUACCUUUUUUGUCUCACCUCUAUGUGAUCCAACGUGCUAAGUGAGAAUUGCAUGUCUACUUUGCUUUCAUUGCCUUUCUUUAAUUCCUUUCAUUUAUUUCAUUUACUUUUACUUUUUCAUUCUUUAUUUAUGGGGUAUGUGUACACCUCUUGGCUUGUAAUAGAUAGGGCUUGGAAAGCACUUGAUGAAGAUCUAUUGAAGACGUGUGCCUAACUAGCAAAUGUAAUAGGUUCAUUAGCUUGAUUGCUUGCUUUUGUUGCUAUGUGUUAAUUUGCUUUAUUAGGCUCUUGCAUCUAGUCGAGCAUGCUAAGUGUUAUGUGCUACGUGUUUAUAGGUGAUUUGCAUGUCUACUUGCUUUCUAUAGUCGUAGAUGAACGUGAUGGAUGAAUGUACGUCACCACACUAGUCCAAUGCUAGUUGUGGCUCAUUAUUCCGUUAGGAAUUCAUAGAAAGGGCUAGUCCAACGCUAGACCCAAUAGGCCGCCCCCCUUUCGUUAGAGCAUACUUGCAUGUUCACUACAUUUCAUGCAUUUUUCUUAGUUCUUAUCAUUUGGCAUGUUCCUCCAAUCCUUUUCCUCUCAUUUUAGGCUUUUUACAUCCUCAUGCUAGUUAUAGGGUACAUUUGCUUGAGAGUCCCCUUUCGAUAAGGGAAACGAGCGAGUUUGGCUACAAAAUAGCCUUAGCACGCUAGUUCUUCCUUCUAAUCCAAGGGAAAAUCAAAGUCGUAAAGUUAGGAGCCCUUCCCGUGCCCGACCUGAUGCAUUCCCUUAGGGUCAUACACUUGCAUUCUUUUUAUAUCACCUCCUCACUCUUUUAGCCACAUUUUCUCACUAUUUAGAUUUUUCUCAAUCCAUUUCUCACCACCUUUUUCCUAUCCCUCAUUUAUUUUUCUACCUCACAAAUGGCACUCAAAUUGCACUUAUACGUAUCUAGUAUCCUAUUUCAUUCAUUUGCACACACAAACACCUUUAUUUUCUCACACUUGCACACUUGCACUUGAGUCCUCACUUGCAUUAAUCACGACUUCCAUGAGAGCUUUCCUUAUUGGCCACCACAAUUCAUGUGGUCGGGACCCUAAAGCCUCAUGAGAAACAUUUUAGGUUUAGGAUUGCAUUUUUCUUUUCUUUUCGCAUCCAUCAGUCAUAUCCAACAUGCGAUACAUACCUUGGAUAGAAAAAUUAGGAAAAGUGGGGCUAAGUCACGCAACUAGCUUUGGUUAGGAUAAGGGAGUGCCUUAGGUUUUGCCUUUGCUUUCUCCUUUGUCAAAUGUGACCCCAAUCCCUUUCUUUGGUUACGUAGACUUAAAAAAUUCUUUAAAAAGGGUUUGUUUACUUUCUUUCCAAAAAAUUAUUUUUUUGGGUGACUUAGUACACCCUAACUCUAUACCAAGUGGCAACUCCUUUUCUAUCUAAAACCCUUUGUUUGGCCAAACCGUCGCAUUUCACAAUCCCACGGCCUUUUAUUUUCACUUUCACACACGUUCACAUACAUAUACCGCACACUACUUUCACACCUUUCAAAAAGUAGGGCGCGACAACUUGGCGACUCCACUGGGGACUUCCUAAGUGGGUCCAAGCAUUUGAUUUAACUAUUCUUUUCUGCUUUUUACCCUUCUUAUGCAUAGCAUUUGGAUAUUAGGGUUGCAUUUUCCAUUUUAGGACUUUUUGCCACGCGCGCGCGUCUCAAACUACUCCCUCACUCACGAAUGUAUGAUUGGUUGAUUGGAUGUAUGUUUACUUGUUUAUCUCGCGCCUGCAUUGCAUUUAGGGGGGGUAUGUCACCCUAGAGCCUCGCGUUGGUUCUUGAUCCCUCCCCUCCAAACGAGCACUAGCAUACGUGCAUACGUUUUAAUUUUUUCACCCCCAUUUAUUUUUUCCUUUUAGUGGCUUGUCACGCCACUCCACCCUAUUAGGAUUUUAGGCGACCCACUUGGACGUGUAAUCGUGACACGACGUGUACGUAACACGAUCCGAGGGGUCACUUAAUCUUCCGCUUUAAGUUUUGGAUUAAUAACCUUUAGUUUUUAGUCGAAGAUUGAGGAUUUUUGAUAGAUUCACUCAGACAUGUGGCCGUGACACGACGUGUGCGUAGCAAUGUCUGGGGAAUCGCUCGAGCCACCGACAAGAAACCUUGGGAGUGAUGACCUUUGGUUUCCAAGUCUGAAGGCUCGGGGAUCUGAGCUUAUCGAGUCUAGAUGCAUUAGUGAACCCCAGCCUCAUGCAUCCAUAUUAGAAUUGCCUAGGGUAGAGUCGACCUUACCCUAUUAGGGACACCAUUCACGAGGAGAGGGAUCCCACCCCCUUUCCUUGUAUAUCUUUGUUGCUUUUUAUAUUAUAUAAAUUGUCCAACGUGUUAUGUGGUUAUGUGUUGAACUAACUUUCCUUGUCUCUUAUCUUUUGCAUUUACAAACGUUAGGAAAUAAGAGGUCUGGCAUGAUCCUCUUUUAGGACCUACCCUUAUAAAUAGGCUAUUGCACGAUUAGAAAUUUCGCUAUAUUUCAUUCGUAAAUCAAUAAUGCCAUACCAUUUUAGGCCUACCCUGGCAAAUAAAGGGUUCCUUAGGUCACGUUUCAUUUCGAGUUGCAUAUUUUACCGCUUUAAUAAACUGGCAUCAUGCAAAAACCCUAGAAAGGGAAUGCCAUUUAGGGGAUCCCGUGUUAGGAAUAAACCACCUCGUAUCUCUGAUACUUAAUCCAAGGAGACUUGCACGUUUACAUUUUGUACCAUCCAAAGGGGUAGUGCACAAGGUAAGGUAGGAUCCGAUCGUCUUCAUAAGAGCAAUUUUUGGAAUAUGAGCUCUAAUAAUCACUUUUUGGCCAUUUUAUCAAAGUUGAUAAAAAUCCCUUGCGCAAAGGACAUUAAUUUGAAAAAAUUCACAAAUGAUUCCUCCUAUUGAGACAAUAAAUAAAUUGAGGCCAAAAUUUGAUUUUAGAAGGCUCAUAGGCUAAUGCAUCGUAAUAAAUUUUUUGAAACUACCAGUUGAUGGCUUGAUUUUUUAAUAGGUUCCCAAUUCCAUUCAAUCCAUUGGACCAUUUCAUUCAUCAAUUUCAUCCGGUCCAUUUUAUCAAUUUGUUCAUUUUUAGGGCAAUCUAGUCGAUUUUUGAAUAAAUCACCAAUAUCAUUCAAUUCAUUUGAUUAGUUAGGGCAAUUUUGUCGAUUUUUGAUAAAUCAUCAAUUUCGUCCGAUUCAUUUGACCAAUUUACCCUUUUAGGGCGAUCUGGUCAAUUUUGAAUAAAUUCUCGAUUUCAUUCAAUUCAUUUGACCAAUCUCAUUUUUUAGGAUGAUCCGGUCCGUUUUGAAUAAAAUUCUCAAUUUCAGUCAAUCAAGUUCCUUUUUUAGGAUGAUUCGGUCAAUUUUGAGUAAGUUUUAAAUUUCACUCAAUUCAUUUGACCCGUUUCCCUUUUUAGGGUAAUUCGAUCGAUUUUAAAUAAAUGGUCAAUUUCAUUCAACCCGUUUGACCAAUUAGGGAUUCAAUGUCGAAUUUCAAAUUGGGAAAUCUAGUCGAUUUUGAGAAAAACAUCCAUUGCAUCCAGCUAUUUGUUCAGUUGGGUUUUGACCCGUGCUUCAAUGAGAAAAUUUGGUCAACGAAUUCUAAUCUUUUUGAUAGGAAGUUCGUCAAGGCCAAACCCGUGCAUUUUUGUAAAUUUUUGUAUCGAUCAAAGGUGAUCAAUCCAGUCGGACGUUGUCCUCGUUUUGACAAAUGUCUCUCGUCACUCCAAUUGGUCAAAUUUUUUAAAAUUAUUUUUUCACUCAAUCAGUUGAUCAGAUCCAUCAGGUAUGGUAUAGUGCCUACCUCAGAGGAUUGCAUUUUCAUGCUACGCCUACCCUUGGCACAAAAGGGCUCCCCCAUAGGACAUGCAUCCGAAUUCUUUGGAUAUUUACUAACUCUUGUCUUUUUCUUUAUUUUUUUGGAAUAACUAAGCGAGGGUUAAAUCUAAAGGCAAUCUUUCAAAAAUUCUCAGGUAAUAUUUAAACAUAGCUUCUCAUCGAAACCCCAUCAUAACGCGAUCCCAUAGUAAAGCCCAAAAGAAUCCUGUAGACAUGAGUACUCGGCCAGGAUCGUCUGAUAAGACCGCCGCAACUACCCAUCCGGAAGCCACAAGUCCCGGGGUUCAGUUGACUGAAUUACUCACCAAAUUUGGGGAAAUGGCAUCUGAAAUGGCCGCCCAAAAGAAGCUGAUCGACGAGCUCGUUAACAGCGGAGUGCAGCCCGAGCUUGCGCCCAUCAAACAACUGGAAUCGGAACCAUUUGUUAUUCCUCCAAUUCAAACCACUUUUGAUGGAGCUUUCCACCCACAGUAUACUUAUACUCAAAAUCCUCCUCCCUAUGGGCAAGGAUUUCAGCCUCAAGGUGGUCCAAACAUGCCUCUAAAUCCACAACCUUUUUACCAGACUACUGCAGAGCCUUUCCUACCAGAUCACACUGUCCAAGCUAAAUCAGAAGUAGGAGAAUCUUCUGUUCCCGUUGAUGUGAAGUUGUUCAAGCGCCUCGAUCGUUUUGACGAAUUCAUAAGGAAAAGUCAGGGUUUAAGUAAGCAAGGAGUCCUGGAUUACGAUGAGCUUUGCCUUUUUCCGAAUGUGCAGUUGGCUGAAGGGUUCAAAACCCCUAAGUUUAACAAGUAUGACGGGACGGGUAAUCCCAAGACACACCUCCGACUAUUUGCUAACAAGCUGGGGAAGCCUGUAGACGACGAGAACCUGCCUCUAAGGUUGUUCCCGGAAAGUCUGGAGGGGGAUGCCCUCGACUGGUACUCAAAUUUGAAGCCCAAAGAAGUAAAGACCUGGAUUGACUUGUCAAAUGCUUUUGUAAGGCAAUACGAGUAUAACUGCGAGCUGGCUCCGACACGAACCACGCUGGAAGGAACAAAAAGAAAACCCUCUGAGGAUCACAAGACUUAUGCCAAAAGGUGGAGAAAAAUAGCUGCAAAAGUCGAGCCACCAAUGACCGAGGACAAAAUCAUACGCACUUUCAUUAAAGCACAUGAUCCGCCGUACUUUGAAGAAAUUUUCCGCAUGACUGGAUGCUCGUUUGCCGCUAUUGUCAAUAAGCUUGAAGAGUUCGAUGACUUCGUGAAAGUUGGGAAGAUUGUUAAUGUCUCUGCCCUCAAAUCCCAGUUGGAAGCUUUGCAAGGCCAAAGUAAUAGUGGUGGGAAGAAACAACAAUUCCAAAAGAAAGAGGGGGAAAUCGCUUUUGCCUGGGAUCGAAACCCUAUCCCAAAGCCCAAAUUUCGAUAAUACCCUACCUACUCCAACCCUUACCCUUACUAUUCAAACCCUCAUCCUGUUUAUCACACCAAUAUCACUCAUCCUCAACCUCGCCCUAAUCACACCAACUCGCCUAGAGCCCCUUUCCAAAUAUCUCAACCCAAUUUCCAACAAGUUCGACCCCGACCUCCCUACAAUCAACGAUUUCCUCCACCAAAUAGACCCACCUAUAAUUACCCCCAACCCAUUGAACCCCAAAAUCAAAAUCGUUAUCGUACUUUUACUAAUCUUGGCAGGCCUUUGGACCAAUUAUAUGAACAAUUAAAAGUCGCCGGUAAAAUCGGCAUAAUUCCCCCUCCAGCUUACCCUCAUGGCGUCUCUACCGGAUACAAUCCACAGUCCACUUGUGCCUAUCAUUCGGGAGCACUUGGCCGUUCAACCGCCGAUUGUAAAGCCCUUAAGCAUAAAGUCCAAGACAUGAUCGAGGCAGGGGAAAUAGUGCUAAAAAAGAAGGGUGGACAAGGACCGAGCAUAAAUGCAAAUCCUUUUCCUGAACACAAGGACGUCUUUGAGGCAUCCACUUCCAACGAAAAAAUUUGAAAAUCUUGAAGAAACUUUGCACAAUUGGAUUGCCAAGUAUCUUCCCUCUCGAAGGGAAGUUGGGAUAAAUCUGGGGAUUGUUAUUUGUUAAACUUCAUGAAAUCGUCACUGUUGGCUUUUGAGUAAAUAGUUUUAUCAUGUUCAAUCAAGUUUUGGCUAAAACAUUUUUUUUGCAUUAUCAAGUUCCUAUGUUGUUUUUUGAAUCUUUUGAUAGCAUGCAUAGUCACAUCUUUUCAUUAUUUUGUUAAUGCCAUUUUGUUUAUAUUGAUUGUUUAUUGGUUCUAAUUUCGCUCUAAGCUGUUUCAUAUGGCCAAAAGAUAAAAGUAUUUGACCUUUGGAUAUCACUGUUCUGGAGACCAAUGAUGUCGAUCUCGAUAUCACUCAUGUCUUUGAGUUUAUGGAAUCCAAGUUUCAAAACGAGAGUGAUAGUGAAGAAGUAUCUGAUUCUUAAAAAGGUCUCGAACAAUAUGAAGAGAAAUCCAAAUCGAAUCUUGAAGACAGAGAUUGUUAACAUUUGGCACCGAGAUUAGGGUCAAAGAAAUAAAGAUCAGUAGAUAUUGGAAUGAAAAGCAAGAAAAGGGAAGCUGUGUUGCCUGCCGAGAUGGAAGUCCCUUCAUUGCGUAUUCAAAUGGAGGCCAAGUUGGAGGAAGUUGAUUGAUCAAGGCAACCUCAUUGGUUGAAUGCUAUAUCACGGCCAUAACUACCAAAAACACAUGACUCAAAAAGUCCACCGGCGAUUUUUUCAAGAAGAAGGCAAAGCUGCUAAAGUGAAUUUGCCAAUGCAAGAUGCAGUCAAAGGCGAAUUUGUUCCAAAUUGGUAAAGGCUAUUCAUUGUUCAAAAGGUAUUACCUGGCGGAGCAUUCAUUUUGGCAGAGAUGGAUGGACAAACAUGCCCUCAACUUAUCAACUCAGACAUGGGUAAGAAGUUCUUUUGACUAUGCAAAUUUCUUUUAGAAGUCACGCAAGUGACGAGAUAAAAGUCAGGCCAUCUUCCUUUCCAAUCAAAGCAUUUCAUCCCUAGUCAUCCCCUUUGAGCUAUCAGAACAAUCAUUUUCGUUUCGCAACCCUUGAGAAUUGCAAACCCCACACUGGGGCGAAUUUAUUUUGAAAAGAGACGAUCAGAAAGAAAAGGAAAACCCCACACUGGGGCAAAUUUAGUAUUUGAAGAAAAAUGCAAAAGUGAGAAAAAUGCAAUAAGAAAAUGCAAAGAAAGAAAAAUCCAAUCAAACUGGGGCAAAUUUCCUCAGUUUUGUUCAAAAAUUGGAGAUAAUUUCAAAAUGAUGCAAUCUCAGGCAAUUUCACACCUUUCAUCAAAUUUGCUUUUAAGUCUCAACCUUUUUCAAAGCACCCCACCUGACCUUUAUUACAAAAGCUCAAAAGUCCUGACUUUCGUCAUUUGCUGUAUUUCUAUUAGGGAUUUUGCUAAUCAACUGGCAGGUGAUGUCCGUAAUGCCUUCACUUAAGCUUAUAAGGGAAGCGCAUUUUACUGAUGCCAGAAAUCUUCAACUCACACUCCUGAUUCGAUCAUGGACGAGCUUCUCCAUUGUUCCUUGGGUGAAAACCUGAAAGGGCAUCUCAAAAAAAAAAGGAAAAAAAAAAGAAAAACAAAACAAAAAUAAGGGUGGGGGCAACCUUGGUGAAAACCCAGAAGGGCGCCAAGGUGAGUUUUGUAAGCACGAGGAGCAAUAGCUGGUGACUUGGUUCAUUUGGAUCUCCCUUCAUUUGGAAUACUUCUGCCAGUGUUGAAUUCCAGAACAAAGAUAUCCAAGGUGUCAAACAUGACAUCUGUUGGCCGAAAAUUGUGUCAUUUUGUAAAAAUAAAUAUUCUUUCGCAAGUACAUUUUUAGGAAACUCAUUUUUUCCCAAAGUGCCUGUAUUCAUGGCAUUUUGUAGGCACAGAUGGUUAUGUUUUGCAUUCUUGUGCAUUUUCAUUCCUUCAUAGCAUGUGAAUUUUUAUUGCAUACCUCAUUUUAACUUCUUGAAUUUUGGUAAAUAACAAUCCCCAGGGGUUUAUUUCAAAAGGAUGCUUGGAUUCAGUCGUCUUUUGGAAACGGUUGAGAUUCAGCAAAGCCAGCCACGCAGCCUUCACAGUAUGGCAAAACACAUACAUUGUCAGUUUGAGAAAUCGGAAAAGUUUUGGAGCGAGAAAUCCAACUCAAUCGGAUGCUGCAGCGGAAGUUGGCGAAAAAGGAAGGAUAAGGAGAAAAACUCAUGUUUACACGAUUCUCAAAGGAAAACGGAUCAAAUGAUGGUGGCAAUUUCUUUGUUUUUUCUCUCUUGCAGAAAAAUUGCAUGUACAAAUGAAAGCAAUCACACCUCGCACUGGAACCGAUGCCGGAAAGAGUUCUCCAGGGAAUAAAGGCAGAUAAAAAAUGUUGCAAGCAAAUUUGAUCAAAAGGUACAACAACACGGUAAUGCAGAAUCAACUAUGGACUCAGGUUGCAAAAACUCAACCCACACUGGGGCAAAUUAUUUCGACAAGUCUCUCUCAGUCAGGAAAAAUCAAAAAACAUCAAAAAAAUCAUCAUCAAAAAAAAAAUCAUCAUCAAAAAAAUUCAAAAGUCAAAAAAUCAAAAAUCAAAUUCAUCACGGCAGGCUCGAGUUUGAUCCCACUGUCCGAUUGUCAAGACAUUUCAUUUUCACAGCCACUGGAGCGUGAGGUUAGUCCCGCCAGUGAGCAUUUCAUUUUCAUCGCUACUGGAGCGUGGGUCAGUGCCGCCAGUGAGCAUUUCAUUUACAUCACCACUGGAGCGUGGGUUAGUCCCGCCAGUGUGCAUUUCAUUUUUCAUCGCCACUGGAGUGUGGGUUAGUCCCGCCAGUGAGCAUUUCAUUUUCAUCGCUACUGGAGCGUGGGUUAGUCCCGCCAGUAAGCAUUUCAUUUUUCACCGUUGCUGGAACGUGGGUCAGUCCCGCCAGUGAACGUUUCAUUUACAUCGCUACUGGAGCGUGGGUUAGUCCCGCCAGUAAGCAUUUCAUUUUUCACCGUUGCUGGAACGUGGGUUAGUCCCACCAGUGAACAUUUCAUUUUUCACCGUUGCUGGAACGUGAGUUAGUCCCGCCAGUGUGCAUUUCAUUUUCACAACCACUGGAGCGUGGGUUAGUCCCGCCAGUGUGCAUUCCAUUUACAUCGCUACUGGAGCGUGGGUUUGUCCCGCCAGUAAGCAUUCCAUUUACAUCGCUACUGGAGCGUGGGUUAGUCCCGCCAGUAAGCAUUUCAUUUUUCACCGUUGCUGGAACGUGGGUCAGUCCCGCCAGUGAACAUUUCAUUUACAUCGCCACUGGAGCGUGGGUUAGUCCCGCCAGUAAGCAUUUCAUUUUUCACCGUUGCUGGAACGUGGGUCAGUCCCGCCAGUAAACAUUUCAUUUACAUCGCCACUGGAGCGUGGGUCAGUCCCACUAGUGCGCCUUUCAUUUUCCCCCGCCGCUAGCCGUGGGUCAGUCCCACUAGCGUGCGUCCCAUGAUUUUAAACUUUGUUCGGGUCAGUCCCGUUUUAAAUUUCUUGUUCGAGUCAGUCCCAUGAUUUUAAAUUUCUGUUCGGGUCAGUCCCGUUUUAAAUUCAUGUUCGGGUCAGUCCCGUUUUAAAUUCAUGUUCGGGUCCAUCCCGUUUUAAAUUUAUUGUUCGGGUCAAUCCCGUUUUAAAAUUCCUGUUCGGGUCAGUCCCGUUUUAAUUUCCUGUUCGGGUCAGUCCCGUUUUAAAUUCAUGUUCGGGUCAGCCCCGUUUUAAAUUCCUGUUCGUUGGAAUCCUCUUGCAGCCAAAUAACACAGGUGAGUGUUUGGUGUCUAUUUCUUUGUCUCAAAUUUUUUCAAAACCCGGACAAAGAGGGGCAAACUGUAGACACCAAAAUUUUAUUUUAUUUUCUUUUACUAUUUACUUUUUACUUUUUAUUUUUGUCGUGUCAGUUUUAUUCACUUUUUCGUUUUUAGUUUUUAGUUUUUAUUUUUAUGUUAUUAUUUUUAUUUUAUUUUUGGAGUUUUAGCAUAGAAUUUCUCGAAAAUGAAAAAGAGAAAAGCAUUCAAAAAUAUGCUUUAGUUGUUUUUAUUCAAAUUCAAUGUUUUCUUGAAAAAAAAAAGAAAAAAGAGAAAAAUGAUGAAAAUAAAAAUUGCAACUUUGCUGUUUAUUAUUUCUAGUUUAUUUAUUUAUUUUUAUCUGAUGUUAAUUAAAUUGUUGGUUUUUACUUAAUUUUAUUAACAUUUUGCUAAAUUACUUAAAAAGAGAAAAAAGGAAAAAAAAGGAAAAAAAAAAGAGAAAAGAAAAAGAAAAGAAAAUUAGCAUUUCAUUUUUAUCCUUUUAUGCCUAUUUCCGCUCAUUGUAUUUAAUUUUUUCUUCAUUAGUUAUUUUUGAUUAAUUAGUUAUCUAUAUUUUGUUAAGUUGUUAUUUAAAAAAAAAAAAAAGGGGAUCCGCGGCAUGCAAGCUGGGUAUUAACGCGGCUUGCAAAGGACAGUCACGCAUGCCAUUGGAGGGCUGGAUUUUAAGGUAGAGCAAGUCUUUCAUCCUCACCAUUGGGAUGAGGGUUUAGGAGAUUGGGGGCUCAUAUAAAAAGGAAAAGAAAGCAGCAGAAGAGAGGGGGAUGGGAGUUGACGGCGGAAAGAAAAAACUGAGCAAGAGGGAAACAGAGGAGAGUUUGAGGAAAAAGGAAAGGGCAGGGAGUAAGAGGACGGUUGAGAGGUUUUGGAGUUGACGGCUAGUGAGGAAACUGAGAAGGUGAGCGGAGAGCAAGAGGGAGAGAGCAAGAGAGAAGUGGCUACGUUCAGUAAAAACAGAGCAAAGGGAGGGACCGAAGGAGUUUUUGGGAAAAAGUGACGGCUGGAAAAUUAGAAAAGGUGACAGCUGAGGUUUGAAGGAGGGGGAAUCAAGAGGGUAUCUAGGGACGGCUGCAAAUAGGGCAAAAGAAGGAGCUAGGAAGGGAGGCCACGGUCAGGAAGCGAAAAGAGACAGCUUCAGAGCUGGGAAACUAGGCUGGGAAGGAGGGUAGAGUACACCGAAAGAGCCGAGAGAGAAACUGCCGAGUGAGGAAGAAACGGGCAACUCAACGAGAAGCAGAUGGGAAUCUUAUCAACGGGAAACUAAGGAGAAAGCCAGCAAGAAAGGUUACUGGAGCCGAAGUAGAGACCGAGGCUUUCACGUUUUCUCCAUCGCUCACCCGAAUCCAAACUCAAGAUUUCAGGUAUAUUCUUGAAAACUGAUUUCUUAGUUUCUCCGAUGUUUCCUUCAUGACUGAGCUGGGUUUUUGCGUUUGUUUUCUAUUUGCUGUUCAUGUCACUGUUGAUGCUUCAAUCGUUGCUGAGUUAGGGGGGUUCCAGUUGUCUCUAUGGUUUUGAUCUUGUUUAGGGAGUGUUUAUCGCCAGAUUUUAGUAGAAAAUGAAUUGGAACUCUUGGGUUUUAUGGGCUUUGUUGAUUCACUGGGUUUGUUAUAUUGGAUAGAAGUUGCAGAAAAUAGCCAAAGUUUGCAUCCUUUGCUUUCCGGAUUUUCUGGGGGGAGGAAGACAGGGAUUGAACUUAUGAUUUCGCUGUUUGAUCUAAAGUAGAUUGGGUUGAAGUUCUGGGGCAUUCAGUGAGGCAUUUCCAGGUUUCCUUGGGUCAUGUAAAUGUUUGUAAACAUGCUGGAUUUGCAAAGAGGAAGCUGCGUGAAGUCUGCUGUGUGUUCUUUUAGUUUUUUUCCUUACGUAUCUUUGCUGCAUUUUUACAUUUCCUUACGUUCGGGAGAGACACGUGCUUGUAUUGUAUCCUGAUUCAUGAAAUUUCAGGUAUCUUGUGCUACUUUGUGUGUGUUAAUGUUUUAAUCUAUCCAAUGAAAGGCUUUAACAAUGCAUUGCUGUUAAGAUGAUGAUUGAGAUCCUCG
rnacentral:lncRNA from 1 species